rnacentral:lncRNA from 1 species
UGACAUUAAUUCAAAACUUCUCAUAAAUGUUAAACAUGUGUGUGCCGCAUACCUUACAUUGUUAUUUUCGCAGUCAUUAUCAUCAAGCAUUCUGCCAGCAGACUGGAAAGUAGGCAAGGUCGUUCCAGUCUACAAAUCAGUUCACUGAAUCAUCCACCGUACAUCACGCCCCCUCCGCACAUAUCCCAUCGCACUGGUCAUCCGUUACAAGUCGCAAUACCACGUACCCGGACCACUGCAUUCCAAGCCUCCUUUUUCGUAAGAGCAGCAAAAGACUGGAACGGCCUUCCUCACGCCAUCUGUGCCAUCACUAACCCAUCUAUGUUUGCAGAAGCCAUUAAAAACACCGUUGUAUAUUUCUUUUUUGUUAUACACCACCC